CAGCUACUGUGUGCGAUCUCGUUGGAAAGAGUUUAGUUAUUACCGCGACACGGUAUCCUUUACUUCCUAAACCAAAUGCCGCUCUUAGACCUGCACCACCUGCUCCUAAUAUCGCUACGUCAUAACAGUGAUCUAUUACUGGAUGGGCUGACAUUAACAUGAAAUUUUUUGCCACUUAUUCUCCAUGCUGACUUGGUCCACUGAUUGCGAGAGAAAAGAAUUAAAUUUGAUUAUAUUACGUAAAUUACAAUUUUUUUUCUUUAAUUCUUUUCUGUUUCGUUUUGUAAGUUAUGUAAUGUAUAUAUUUUUAAUUACCCUUGAUUGAAGUGGUAUAAACUUUCUUAGAUAUCGAGCUAACAUUUUCAAGGAAUACAGAAUCUUUUUUUCUGAUACAGUCUGAUAACCUUAAUUCUAUGUUGUUAUUUUCAUUUGUUAAUAUUAACAAAGAAAAUACGAGAAUUUAUUAUGUUACUCUCGAAAAAUUUUACAGACGAGAUUGAGAAAGUGAAAUAAAUGAAAAUGCGAUUUGCAAACUUAAAAUAUUAAAUAAUAAAAUAAAGUAUAAUAAUAAGAUGAUAAAAUAAUCAAGCAUAAUUUUAUUGCAUUUGUAAAAAUACAAUUUUAACUUACAAAUAAUUAAUACAGAUCGAAAUUGGCAUAGUACUCCGACAUACAGACUGCUUAUUUUAUAUUAUUUUAUAAUAAAAUUAUAAGGGGACACGCGUAUGUUCCUCCUUCUUCUAUAAACUUAUUUAAAUCUGAAUUAAAAUCCAAAAUUAAAAUGCAAUACUUCCUGAGAUAAUAAUAAAGGACACUUGAAUAUAUAAGUUACAUAUGUAUAUUACAAGUAUCGUUUUGACAAGAAGUUUAAUUAAUUAUUGCAUUUGUUUGUAAUAUUCGUAAUUAACGAUUCAUCAUCGACUCUAAGGAAAAGAAAAAAAAUCUUCUUUUCCAACACUGAAUGUAAAAAAGAAAAAAAAAAAAAAAUAAAUAAA